rfam:Nomascus leucogenys chromosome 4, whole genome shotgun sequence.
AUCUUUUGUGGUUUCUAAGUACGAUGAUUGGGUUUUCACAUGCAUGUGUGAGGUGUGCCACCCUCAAACCUUGUUAUGACAUCAGCACUUACCCAUCUGACA